rnacentral:lncRNA from 1 species
UGCCCGCGAGGAUGCUUCUUCGCCUGAUGUUAUUACCGGUACAUUCACCCUCUUUGAUACUAAUGUAAUUGCUUUGAUUGACCCCGGUUCUACUCAUUCUUACAUAUGUGAAACCUUAGCAUCCAGUAAGACUUUACCUAUUGAGUCUACUGAGUUCGUAAUUCGGGUGUCAAAUCCCUUGGGUCGUUACGUGCUUGUCGACAAAGUGUGUAAGAAAUGUCCCCUGGAAAUUCGAGGUUCCUGUUUUCCAGCGGACUUGAUGCUUUUGCCGUUUGAUGAAUUUGAUGUUAUCCUUGGGUUGGAUUGGUUGACCGCGCAUGAUGCGAUUGUGAAUUGCAAGAGCAAGACUAUUGAUUUGAGGUGCGCAAAUAACGAAGUAGUCCGAAUUGAGUCUGCGGACUUGGAGGGGAUGCCAGCUGUAAUAUCAGCAAUGUUGGCACAGAAAUAUGUAAAAAAAAAGGGGUGCGAAGCAUACCUUGCAUAUGUGCUUGAUGACAAAGAAUUAGAAAAGAAACCCGAAUCUGUGCCGGUGGUUUGUGAAUACCCGGAUGUUUUUCCGGAAGAAUUACCGGGUUUACCACCUGUUCGGAAGGUAGAGUUUGGUAUUGAGCUUGUACCUGGGACUACGCCGAUUUCGAUAGCUCCGUAUCGUAUGGCACCAACUGAGUUAAAGGAGUUGAAAGCUCAGUUGCAAGAACUGACGGAUAGAGGUUUCGCUCGACCAAGUUUCUCACCUUGGGGUGCACCAGUAUUGUUCGUGAAAAAGAAGGACGGAACCAUGAGGUUGUGCAUUGACUAUCGUCAGCUGAAUAAAGUGACGAUAAAGAACAAAUAUCCGUUGCCGUGCAUCGAUGAUUUGUUCGACCAACUGAAGGGAGCCUAAGUGUUCUCAAAAAUAGAUUUGAGAUCGGGCUAUUAUCAGUUGCGAAUUCGAGAUCCAGAUAUUCCCAAAACUGCCUUCAGAACGAGAUAUGGUCACUACGAAUUCUUAGUGAUGCCGUUUGGGCUCACUAAUGCCCCUGCGGUAUUUAUGGAUUUGAUGAAUCGGAUCUUCAGACCGUAUUUGGAUCAGUUCGUAGUUGUGUUCAUUGAUGACAUUUUGGUCUAUUCAAGAGAUGAGACCGAACAUGCUGGGCAUCUGAGGCUAGUGCUGCAAAUUUUGCGGGAUAAGCAGUUAUAUGCUAAGUUCAAUAAGUGCGAGUUCUGGUUAAGAGAGGUUAGCUUCUUGGGUCAUGUGGUAUCCGCGUCGGGUAUUCGAGUUGACCCGAACAAAAUUUCAGCCAUACUUGACUGGAAACCUCCGAGAAAUAUUACUGAAGUUCGGAGCUUUUUGGGGCUCGCCGGUUAUUACCGACGAUUUGUGAAAGGUUUCUCGAUGAUAGCCACACCAAUGACGAAGCUACUUCAAAAGGAUGUUAAGUUCGAGUGGACGGAGAAAUGUCAGAAAAGUUUCAACCAACUGAAAACUCAUUUGACUGAAGCUCCAAUUUUGGUGCAACCCGAAUCAGGUAAAGAGUUUGUCAUUUAUAGUGACGCAUCCCUACUUGGGUUGGGUCGCGUAUUGAUGCAAGAAGGUCGAGUCGUCGCCUAUGCGUCGAGACAAUUGAAGCCACACGAGAGGAAUUAUCCGACCCAUGAUCUCGAUCUAGCUGCCAUCGUGUUUGCUUUAAAAAUAUGGCGACAUUAUCUGUUUGGUGAGAAGUGCCAUGUAUUUUCGGAUCACAAAAGUCUCAAAUAUUUGAUGACUCAACGAGACUUGAAUCUGCGACAAAGACGUUGGCUUGAGUUGUUGAAAGAUUACGAGCUUGUCAUUGAUUACCACCCGGGAAAGGCUAACGUGGUUGCGGACGCCUUAAGCCGGAAGUCAUUGUUUGCUUUACGAGCGAUGAAUGUGCAUUUGUCUGUUCUACCAGACAGUGUGUUAGUAGCUGAAUUAAAAUCUAAACCAUUAUUGACUCACCAAAUUCGUGAAGCUCAGAAAGUCGAUGAUGAAUUGGUUGCAAAACGGGCUAAGUGUUUUCCGAACGAGGAAUCGGAGUUUCAAAUUGAUGAUGAUGAUUGUUUGAGGAUCAGAAAUCGUUUGUGUGUUCCAAGGAAUUCGGAACUCAUUUCGAUGAUUCUGAACGAAGCCCAUUGUUGCCGAAUGUCAAUUCACCCGGGAAGUACGAAAAUGUACAACGAUUUGAAACGUCAAUUUUGGUGGCAUGGUAUGAAACGGGACAUCUUCGACUUUGUUUCGAGAUGUUUAAUAUGUCAACAAGUGAAAGCGGAACAUCAAGUGCUUUCAGGAUUACUCCAGCCGAUCAUGAUACCCGAGUGGAAAUGGGAUCGAGUCACAAUGGACUUUGUGUCCGGACUGCCCUUGUCAGCAAGUAAGAAGGAUGCGAUAUGGGUUAUUGUUGAUAGACUGACUAAGUCGGCUCAUUUCAUCCCCGUACGUACGGAUUUUUCAUUGGAUAAACUAGCUGAAUUGUACGUUUAUCAAAUUGUGAGAUUAUACGGGGUACCUGUUUCUAUCGUGUCGGAUAGAGAUCCGAGAUUCACCUCACGAUUUUGGAAGAAAUUGCAAGAAGCUCUGGGUACUAAGCUGCAUUUUAGCACUGCUUUUCACCCCCAAACCGAUGGUCAAUCCGAGCGGAUAAUUCAGAUACUUGAGGAUAUGUUGAGAUGUUGCAUCCUCGAGUUCAGUAGUUCAUGGGAACGGUAUUUACCUUUGAUUGAAUUCGCUUACAACAAUAGUUUUCAAUCAAGUAUUAAGAUGGCACCUUAUGAGGCUUUGUACGGUCGUAAAUGCCGUACACCAUUGUUUUGGACCGAGCUCGGUGAAAGCAAAAUUUUCGGAGUUGAUUUGAUUAGAGAUGCCGAACAGAAAGUAAAGGUAAUCCGUGAAAGUCUGAAGGUAUCCACGGAUCGUCAGAAAUCGUACGCAGAUUUGAAACGAAAAGACAUCGAGUAUCAGGUGGGAGACAAAGUGUUCCUUAAGGUUUCACCUUGGAAAAAGAUACUCAGGUUCGGCCGUAAGGGCAAGUUGAGCCCAAGAUUCAUUGGGCCGUACGAAAUCUCCGAACGAGUUGGUCCGGUUGCGUAUAGAUUGAUUUUGCCCCCGGAGCUUGAAAAGAUUCAUGACGUCUUUCAUGUUUCGAUGCUUCGACGCUAUCGAUCUGAUCCAUCGCACAUAAUUAGCCCAUCGGAGGUUGAAAUUCAAGUCGACAUGAGCUAUGAAGAAGAACCGAUGCGUAUCCUAGCUCGUGAAGUGAAGGAGUUGAGAAACAAAAGAGUUCCGCUAGUAAAGGUGUUAUGGCUCAAACUCGGGAUCGAGGAAGCUACUUGGGAGACCGAGAGCUCGAUGAAAGAACGAUACCCAAACCUAUUUACUGGUAAGAUUUUCGGGGACGAAAAUUUCUUAAGUGGGGGAGAGUUGUGACAGCCCAAAGUUGACCCUAGUCGGGAAGUGGUUUCGGGACCGCUAAACCGAGUCACCGAAAUGUUUGAAUGUGAUACUUAUUGUGUAGAAUAUGUAAUUAUGAAUGUGUGAAAAUUUCAAGCUUUAAUUGGGUUGAUUUCAUGUGAAUUUAGUCAAUAGGACUUAUGUGAGAAAAUUCUAAAAUGUGAUAGGUCAAUGUGUGAGGACCUACUAGUGCAUGUGGACAAAGGGGGGACUUGCAUGUCAAAUUUCCCCCCCCUAAUGAGUAGUGGCCGGCCAUGACAAGGAAGGAUGGGCAAAACAUGUCAUGAAACAUGUUUUGUUAGUGGAAGAAUAAAAUAAGGAGUAUGGGUAAUAAAGAAAUGGAAAACAAAAGAAAAAAAAAAGGUGUGUGUGGUGUUUGUCCCCCCAUUGCCGUGAGCUAAACAAGAGAAAGGGGGAAUUUUGUUCAUCCUUUUCUCAUCUUCAUGCUUGCCAAAAACUAGAAAGAAAAACAAAGAAAAAUUUUCUCAUCCUUUGGUUCAUCCUUGGCCAAAAAUUUUAAGGAGGAAAGAAGAAGAAAGGUGAAGAGAUUCGGCCAUGCAUGUAGCUAGGCUAAGCUCAAGAGCAAAGGGGAAAUAAAACCGAUAAAGGGAAGGAAAAAGUGGUUGAAUAGCUAGCGGAAUCGUUCGACAACACCCGAGAUUUUUGGUUCUCCAGCUAUCGGACUCGGGAUCUUGAAGUCGAAGUCGCCCACACUAUCAAAGGCUCUUUUGGGUACUAUUUUGGUUGAAUUUUGUUAUGGCAUGUAUAGGACUACCCAUUGUUGUCUUUCGAGUACUUUAUGAAAUGUAUAAGUGUACAGCCAUGCGAAAAUGGCUUGUAGAAGUGGAGUAUGGCAUUAGACCAUUCGUAUUUGUGAAUGUAUAGAUGGUUUCAUGAUGUAACUAUGUUGGAAUGGAAGUGUUGAGCAAAUGAUCAGCCACUAGAAUGGCUAAGUAUGAUCAUAUGUGGGCUUAUGUAUGACAAGGCCCUAGUUGGUCCAUGAAACCCCAAAUUAGGUAAGGUUCACUUUGAAAACAGAAGCUGAU